GGGCCUGUAGCUCAGUUGGCUAGAGCGCUGCAUUCGCAUUGCAGAGGUCAGGGAUUCGACUUCCCUCAGGUCCACCA
rnacentral:tRNA from 1 species